AAGCAUCAACUGAUAGGCCAGGAGCUACUUUGUUUACUCUUUGGCUUGCAUUAAGAUGCAAUAGUGACUUCCCUGCGCUUUCUGCCUGCCUGAUCACAUAGCAGCUCAGAUUGAAUAAGGGAGAACAUUU